rnacentral:rRNA from 1 species
CAAUAGCGUAUAUUUAAGUUGCUGCAGUUAAAAAGCUCGUAGUUGGAUUUCGGGUGGGAAUGGCCGGUCCGCCGUUUCGGUGUGCACUUGCUACGCCCACCUUGCUGCCGGGGACGUGCUCUUGAGUUCACGCUCGGGACACGGAGUCGGCGAGGUUACUUUGAGUAAAUUAGAGUGUUCAAAGCAGGCCUACGCUCUGAAUACAUUAGCAUGGAAUAACACGAUAGGACUCUGGCCUAUCUUGUUGGUCUGUAGGACCGGAGUAAUGAUUAAGAGGAACAGUCGGGGGCAUUCGUAUUUCAUUGUCAGAGGUGAAAUUCUUGGAUUUAUGAAAGACGAACUACUGCGAAAGCAUUUGCCAAGGAUGUUUUCAUUAA